rnacentral:rRNA from 1 species
CUGCCAGCCGCCGCGGUAAUACGGAGGGUGCGAGCGUUGUCCGGAAUCACUGGGCGUAAAGGGCGCGUAGGCGGCCAGGUAAGUCGGAUGUGAAAUCCCGGGGCUCAACUCCGGGGCGCCAUCCGAGACUGCAUGGCUCGAGCACGGUAGGGGCGAGUGGAAUUCCCGGUGUAGCGGUGGAAUGCGUAGAGAUCGGGAAGAACACCAGUGGCGAAGGCGGCUCGCUGGGCCGUUGCUGACGCUGAGGCGCGAAAGCGUGGGGAGCAAACAGGAUUAGAUACCCUGGUAGUCCACGCCGUAAACGAUGUGUGUUUGUCGCCGGGAGGUUUACCUUUCGGUGACGCAGCUAACGCGUUAAGCACACCGCCUGGGAAGUACGGCCGCAAGGUUAAAACUCAAAUGAAUUGACGG